rnacentral:rRNA from 1 species
GGAUGGAACUAUAUCCUAUCAGCUUGUUGGUAAGGUAAUGGCUUACCAAGGCUAUGACGGGUAGCUGGUUUGAGAGGAUGAUCAGCCACACUGGAACUGANACACGGUCCAGACUCCUACGGG